rnacentral:misc_RNA from 1 species
GAAGAACAGAAACUAAGACAGAAUAAACCCCUAGAGCUCAGCUUGUAGUUUCAGGAAUAUGAAACAAGAACCCACUAAGGGUUUGCGUGUUGAAACAUGCCUAAUCCGCACGAGAUUGGCCAGCGCGGGAUGACAGGAUGAUGCCGACGAUGAGCCCAUAGAGAGCAAGCGCUUCGGCAAAAAUGAGGAUGAGGAUCAUACCCACGAACAGCUUUGGUUGCUGGGCGUUCGCCCUGACUCCGGCGUCACCAACGAUG